rnacentral:tRNA from 1 species
GACGUCGUAGCCGAGGUUCUGCAGGGAGACGAUGUAGCCGCCGCCGUUGACGCUCGCCGGCGUGGUGCCCGAGUUCGGGUUCUUGGCGACGUCC